rnacentral:tRNA from 1 species
GGGGGUAUGGCGAAACUGGUAGACGCACUGGAUUUAGGUUCCAGCGGGGCAACCCAUAAGAGUUCAAAUCUCUUUACCCCCACCA